CUCAAUGUACGGAAAUCUUUUUCAUAUUCUGCUUUCAUGGUAUUAGAGCACGAAAGUUGAAUUUUCUUUCAUUUUCUCACUGAUUUUUACCAAUCAAACGCUUAAACCCAUUCUUCAUUCUUCGUCAUUUCUUCUCAUUUUUGGCUCAUUAUGUUGUUCUUGAAUUUGUGAUUCUUAAUCUGUUUUCAUUUUAUCUCACUGCUCUCUAUGUUACGCUAGAUCUUGGAUACUUUUAGGGUUUUCUUGAAAUCAUGACAAGUACAAAUUCUUUGAUUUCAGUUAUGGAUGAUCCUUUUUCAUCGUACUUUCUGCACCACUCAGACAAUCACAGACCUAAACUGACUAUUCAUAACUUUGUCUCUUGGAAAAGAUCUUUUGUUCUAGCUAUUUCCAUAAGGAAUAAGUUGAGAUUCCUUGACGGUAUCAUUCCUAAACCUAAGGAAACAUAUCCUUUUUUCCUUGCUUGGACAAGAUGUAACAAGCUGCUAAUUGCUCGGCUUUUUACUUUCGGUUUCUCCUUCGAUAGCUUCUACAGUGUUCUAUAUGAAUUUUGCUAGUAAAAUCUGUGAUACUUUGAAUUAGAGGUUCAGGCAGCCAGAUGAUACGAAAGUUUGCCAUCUUCAACAUAUGCUAUACAAUCUCACACAAGGUCCAUUCAUCAUAGAUGAGGACUAGACUUGCUAGGAUGCAAGCUGGGCUAUAUUUUCUUCGAUAGGACAUUUCAAAAACUCCUGAGUCCAUUGUACCUAGUUCUAAUUCAGUCAAUUGUAUUUCUCAUUUCAACUCAGCAACUACAAAUUAUACUUCUUCUGUUCAUAAUGUUUCUUUUAAUGUUUAGCAUUAUAGACUAGGACAUCCUUCUCAAGCCAAGCUCUUCUUUCUCUUAUCCUUUCCAUUGCCAAACAACCUACUGUAACUCCUUGUUCUGUUUUCCCAAAGGCCAAGCAGAAAAGGAAUUCUUUUCCAAUUCAUAUUAAUAAUACUACUCACACUUUUGAAAUUGUGCAUGUUGACAUAUGGGGCCCUCAUUCUCAAGCUGAUAUUUCUGGUUACCACUAUUUUCUUAACUUUGUGGAUGAUUUUUCUAAAUCAACUUGGGUUUUCCUUAUGCAUAAUAAGUCUGAAGCUUUCCAAUUACUGCAACAGUUCUGUAAUCUGAUCCUUAAUCAAUUUCAUGUUAGCAUCAAGAUCAUAAGAACAGAUAAAGCUCCCGAGUUUGCUAUCUCUAGUUUCUAUUCUCAUAAAGAAAUUCUUGAUAAAAAAUCGUGCACUUAUACUCCUUAGCAGAAUGGAGUUGUUGAAAGAAAACAUCAACAUCUCCUUAAUAUUGCUAGAUCUCUUCUAUUUUAUACCUACAUAUUUUUGGGGGGAUGCAGUGCUUACUGCUAUAUACAUUAGAAUUCCAACUUCUUUCUUACAAAACAGAGGUCGAUUUGAAAUAUUGUUUUAGAAAACACCUUCUUAUGAUCAUUUUAAAGUAUUUGGUUGCUUAACCUUUGCUUCCACUAUAUCUAAUCAUAGAAAGAAGUUUGAGCCUAGGUCCAGAAAGUAUGUUUUUAUUGGAUAUCUUGUUGGUGUUAAAGGUUAUAGGCUCUAUGAUCUUGAUACUAAAGCAGUCAUUAUUUCCAAGGAUGUACAAUUUCAUGAGUUUAUGUUCCCUUUUCAAGAUCUUUCUCUCUCUUCUGAUAUGGUACUACCCCAUUUGUCUGAUCAUGACAUUCAUUUCGAUAGUUAUUCACCUCCUGUUCACUCUAAUGUCCCAGCUGCAUCUCAUGCUCCAGCAUCAUCUCAUGAUUAUGCAUCUUCUCUUUCUCCUUCUUCUUCUCCUGCCAUUACUUUGCCUCUAACUGUCCCUACCAGACAGCACAAGAAUUUCUAGAUUAUCUACAUACUUACAAGCCUAUCACCAUUCUUUGAAAAUCGGUACUUCUUCAGUUAUAGAACUUCUCAUCCUCUUCAUCAUUAUCUUUCUUACAGUAAUCUUUCUACUCUUCAUAAGCAUUUUGCACUUUCCAUUUCCUUACAAACAGAACGUACUUCUUAUAACCAAGUUCUUAAACAUGAGCAUUGAAGAGUUGCCAUAAAAGACGAACUUGAGGCUUUAACAGCAAAUCAAACUUGGACAGUGGUUCCUUUACCCCAAGGACAACAUGUCAUUGGCUCUAAAUAGGUUUAAAAGACUAAGCAUGACUCAGAUGGUUCAAUUGAAAGGUUCAAGGCUCGUUUGGUGGCUAAGAGGUAUAGCCAAAAGUAUGCUUUCGAUUAUGAAAAAACGUUUAGCCCUAUCGUUAUGCACACUACAGUCAGGGCACUGCUUGCUGUGGCUGCUGUCAAGGGUUGGUCAUUUUCUCACUUGGAUGUAAAUAAUGCCUUUUUAAAUGGUGACCUUCUUAAGGAUGUUUACAUGGAGAUUCCUGAAGAUUUUGAGCUUCAGGGGGAGAAUUACAUGUUUGAAUAUGCAAACUUUUAAUUCUGUUAGCAGUGUUAAUUGUCAAGCUAGAUUAGUGUAUAAGUUACAGAGAUCACUGUAUGGUUUGGAACAAGCUUCCAGAUAAUGGAAUGCUAAGUUGGCAGAAUGUUUAACACAUAUUGAGUUUAUUCAGUCUAAGGCAGAUUACUCAAUGUCUAUAACGCAGUCUGAGAAAGGAUUUAUUGCUAUUCUAGUAUAUGGAUGAUAUUCUCAUAGCAAGUUCUAAUAAACUUCUUAAUGAACAAUUGAAGCAAGUUCUAAAUUCAAGUUCUAAAUUGAAGAAUUUAGGAAACUCAAAGUUUUUCAUUGGACUUGAGAUAUCAAGUCUGGAAUUUCUUUAUACCAGAGGAAAUAUACACUUGAUCUUUUGGAAGAAUAUGGUUUUCUUGGUGCCAAGCCAAAUAAUGUUCCAGUUGAAGUGAAUCACAAGUUGGUUAAUACUUAUGAGAAUUUGCUUAGUGAUCCUUUAAGUUAUAGACAGCUGGUGGGAAAACUUCUUUAUCUAACUGUCUUAAGACCAAACAUCUCAUACACUGUCCAUCUUUUGAUACAGUUUAUGUUUAAGCCAGCUGAAACACAUCUUAUGGCAGCUCAUAAGGUGUUGAAGUAUUUGAAGAAGUCUCCAAGAUAAGGGGUUUUCUUUCCUGCAGAAUCUUAUUUGAAGCUAAAAGCUUAUUGUAAUAGUGAUUGGGCAGGCUGUAAAGAUUCAAGGAGAUCACCAACAAGUUUCAAUAUUUCUCUUGGUGGAUCUUUGAUUAGUUGGAAGACAAAGAAGCAGAAUGUAGUAGCCAGAAGCUCAAUAGAGGCAGAAUAUAGAUCAAUGGCUUCCACUACUUCUGAAGUUCUAUGGAUUCUUUUCUUAUUAAAGGACUUGGGAGUAAAACAUGAAGGAUAUGUUGAUUUGAAUUGUGAUAAUAUGUCUGCUAUACAUAUAAGCAAAAAUCAUGUUUUCCAUGAGAAAUCGAAGCCCAUAGAGAUUGACUGCCAUUUUAUCAGAUGACAAAGUCAUCAAAGGUGUCAUUAAACCAGUUUAUAUCAGCACUCAUGAACAAGUUACUGACAUUCACACAAAGGCUUUGAAUUCUAGGCAGUUUAAUUACUUACUUUUCAAGAUGAGAGCAUACAUAAUAUAUAUGCACAUCUUGAGGGGGGUGUAUAUAGUUGUACAUAGCCAUGGUUAUUUUAGUCAUUUCUAUUUAAGUAGUUAUGUAUUUUGUUAUUCCUUUACACUCUGUAUUUGUUGAUGCAUUCUCUAUAUAUAUAGAGAGAGAGAGAGAAGCAGCUCUUGUUCUUUGGUUAAACUCAAUAUACAGAAAUCUUUUUCA